UACAGAGGGUGCAAGCGUUGCUCGGAAUUAUUGGGCGUAAAGAGCUCGUAGGCGGCUUGUCACGUCGGGUGUGAAAGACCGGGGCUUAACCCCGGUUCUGCAUUCGAUACGGGCUGGCUAGAGUGUGGUAGGGGAGAUCGGAAUUCCUGGUGUAGCGGUGAAAUGCGCAGAUAUCAGGAAGAAUAUCCGUGGCGAAGGCGGCUCUCUGGGACGGUACUGACGCUGAGACGCGAAAGCGUGGGGAGCGAACAGG
rnacentral:rRNA from 1 species